rnacentral:rRNA from 1 species
AGCUUGCUUAGGAUAGGUUAGUGGCGGACGGGUGAGUAUCGCGUGGAUAAUCUGUCUCUAGGAGCCGGAUAACUCGGGGAAACCUGGGCUAAUACGGCAUGAAGUCCGUGAGCCGCAUGACUUACGGAUAAAAGGUGGCCUCUGCUUGCAAGCUACCGCCUGGAGGGGAGUCCGCGUCCCAUUAGCUUGUUGGUGAGGUAACGGCUCACCAAGGCUGCGAUGGGUAGCCGGCCUGAGAGGGUGAACGGCCACACUGGGACUGAGACACGGCCCAGACUCCUACGGGAGGCAGCAGUUUAGAAAUUUGCGCAAUGACCGCAAGGUUGACGCAGCGACGCCGCGUGGAGGAUGAAGGCCUUCGGGUUGUAAACUCCUGUUAGAAGGGACGAUGGCGCUCAUGUCCAAUAAGCUUGAGUGUUGACGGUACCUUCAGAGAAAGCUCCGGCUAACUCCGUG